rnacentral:rRNA from 1 species
UAGGGCGAAAGCCUGAUCCAGCCAUGCCGCGUGAGUGAUGAAGGCCCUAGGGUUGUAAAGCUCUUUCGGCGGGGACGAUAAUGACGGUACCCGCAGAAGAAGCCCCGGCUAACUUCGUGCCAGCAGCCGCGGUAAUACGAAGGGGGCUAGCGUUGCUCGGAAUCACUGGGCGUAAAGGGCGCGUAGGCGGAUCUUUAAGUCAGGGGUGAAAGCCCAAGGCUCAACCUUGGAAUUGCCUUUGAUACUGAGGAUCUCGAGACCGGAAGAGGUAAGUGGAACUGCGAGUGUAGAGGUGAAAUUCGUAGAUACUCGCAAGAACACCAGUGGCGAAGGCGGCUUACUGGUCCGGUUCUGACGCUGAGGCGCGAAAGCGUGGGGAGCAAACAGGAUUAGAUACCCUGGUAGUCCACGCCGUAAACGAUGGAUGCUAGCCGUUGGCCAGCUUGCUGGUCAGUGGCGCAGCUAACGCUUUAAGCAUCCCGCCUGGGGAGUACGGUCGCAAGAUUA